UCCUCGAUCAGGCAGCCGAGUGUGGUGG
rnacentral:sRNA from 1 species